rnacentral:rRNA from 1 species
UGGUGGGGUGACUUGUCUGCUUAAUUGCGAUAACGAACGAGACCUUAACCUGCUAAAUAGCCCGCAUUGCUCCGGCAGUGCGCUGGUUUCUUAGAGGGACUUUCGGCUCAAGCCGAAGGAAGUUUGAGGCAAUAACA